rnacentral:sRNA from 1 species
AAAAAUCAGCUGGGCAUGGUGGUGCACACCUAUAGUCCCAGCCACUUGGUAGGCUGAGAUGGGAGGAUCACUUGAACCCAGGAGGCUGAGGCUGCCAUGAGCCAUAAUCACACCACUGCACUCCAGCCUGGGUGACAGAUUGAAGCCCUCCCUCUAAAAAAAUAUAACUAUUGUGAAGAUCGGUUAGGGGCCCAGUGUGGAAUGGGGUGGCUGCAGGCAGCAAGCGUAUCCAUGUGGUUUAGGGACACCUAUUCAGGCCACCUGCCUGACCACUGGCCCCAAUCAGGAGUGAACGAUUGGGUGCUAACAGGCCCUGGGCCUUGUGGGGGGUCUGUGUCCUGUUCCCCCUGGCAGUGCUGGAGGUGUGCCAGUUCUCGAGGGAUGCCUCUGUGGCUGAGGCGUGGCUGAUUGCCCAGGAGCCCUACCUGGCCAGCGGGGACUUUGGACACACAGUGGACAGUGUGGAGAAGCUCAUCAAGAGGCAUGAGGCUUUUGAGAAGUCCACGGCCAGCUGGGCAGAGCGCUUUGCUGCCCUGGAGAAGCCCACCACGCUUGAGCUGAAAGAAUGCCAGAUUGCAGA